CACCCUUAACACACCCAAUCUUGUCUGAUCUAGGAAGCUAAGCAGAGUUGGGCCUGGUUAGUACUUAGAUGGGAGACCACCUAGGAAUAUCAGGUGCUUUAGGAA
rnacentral:rRNA from 1 species